rnacentral:rRNA from 1 species
CCUACGGGUGGCAGCAGUGAGGAAUAUUGGUCAAUGGACGAGAGUCUGAACCAGCCAAGUAGCGUGAAGGAUGACUGCCCUAUGGGUUGUAAACUUCUUUUAUAAAGGAAUAAAACGAGGCACGUGUGCCUUUUUGCAUGUACUUUAUGAAUAAGGAUCGGCUAACUCCGUGCCAGCAGCAGCGGUAAUACGGAGGAUACGAGGGUUGUCCGGAUUGAUGGGGUUUAAAGGGAGCGUAAAUGGGUUGUUAAGUCAGUUGUGAAAGUUUGCGGCUCAACAGUAAAAGUGCAAUUGAUACUGGCAGUCUUGAGUACAGUUGAGGUAGGCGGAAUUCGUGGUGUAGCGGUGAAAUGCUUAGAUAUCACGAAGAACUCCGAUUGCGAAGGCAGCUUACUAAACUGCCACUGACAUUGAUGCUCGAAAGUGUGGGUAUCAAACAGGAUUAGAUACCCGGGUAGUC